GACGAACGCUGGCGGCGUGCUUAACACAUGCAAGUCGAGCGAGGUCCAACCGGUGGCAACACCGGGGAAGACCUAGCGGCGAACGGGUGAGUAACACGUGAGAAACCUGCCCCGAAGUUCGGGAUAACCCGGGGAAACCCGAGCUAAUACCGGAUACCCACGAUUGGUCGCAUGGCCGAUCGUGGAAAGAACUUCGCUUCGGGAGGGUCUCGCGGCCUAUCAGCUUGUUGGUGGGUAACGGCCCACCAAGGCAUCGACGGGUAGCUGGUCUGAGAGGACGAUCAGCCACACUGGGACUGAGACACGGCCCAGACUCCUACGGGAGGCAGCAGUGGGGAAUCUUGCGCAAUGGGCGAAAGCCUGACGCAGCAACGCCGCGUGCGGGAUGAAGGCUCGGUGUAACGCUUCAGUAGGACGGAAUUAGACGGUACCGUACAGAAGAAGACCCGGCC
rnacentral:rRNA from 1 species